AUGGUGCUAAAUUUUGCAUUUCUCGAAGCUCGGCUAACUUAGCCCGGGCUAAAUCGUGGGCUAAAUCGCGUCAUUAUUUUGACGUCACAAAUUUAGCCACCCCUUUGAUUUGGCCAUGGGCUAAAUCGUGGGCUAAAUUAGCCCACUGAUUUUGACCAAUCAGAUAGCAGAUUAUCAACAUGAACAAUAAUUGUUUUAUUUUCUGCAUCGCGAGAACGAGCCGACGAUAUGGACGGGAAGGGGGUCGUAAUGCCGUAUUUAUCUUCACAUCUUCGAACAAAACCGCACUACCUAAGCCACAAUACUGAAAAUGGCUAAUGUUCUCCAACAGUGUCGUCACUCAUCAUUGUUGAGUAUGGAGUAUGGAAAGAGAGAUACUUGAACAUGUUGGAAUGUCACCUUGAGGACCAAGAUAUGGGGAGAAUAAUGCUUGAAUGGUGCACAGAUGAGUCUUUUCAACUCUGGUAUGCUUCUCCAAGAAAACGGCCAUGCACAUCACCAGAAUGCUAGAACAGGAUCAGGGAGUGAAUAUCUGAGGAAGGGUUCUUUUCCAGUACUUUGAUACAAUUGUCUUCACUUCAUUUGUUUGCUGUUGGUAUCCGUUGCUCUUCUUUUUUUAUGAAUUCCUGCCUGCAUUCUCUCGUCAAUCAAUCAAGAUAGCGUGCUAUUUCGCAUUCCAUUGGCCAUGUCAUAAUCUACGCAUGAACAUGGACACUGAGUUAAAACUGGUAGCUUGCUCAAUCCCGUACAUCUCUGGACUGUCACCAGCUAGUUAUUCCUAGAGGUUUUAAAGCUACUGUACCACAGCCAAUUUGGACAGCACCAUCUCAAGACAUAAACUCCUGUACCUUGUAACACUAGGAUGUAAUAAAUUGACAGGUUUAUUACUUAUUUGCAAAGAAAAAAAUAUUUUCUUAGUUGUUGGGGUGUUUCCACGCAUUCCUGUAUUUCAAUAGUGAUCUAAUGACCAUCUUGCUUUUAAAACCCAAAUUCACAAUAUUUUUCUUGUUUGAUAAAAGGUUUAGGUACUUCUGGGUGGAUAUAAAUGACACACAUGUUGGGUUAAUAAACAACAGUUGUAUCAUACUUAACUCAGUUUUGCCAAGAGAUGGACUGACUUUAGGUCAUUCUUAUUAUUCAAGUCUAUUGUCUCACUUAUCUUUUUUUUAAUUAAGAAUCAAUGCUGAAAUCCUCAUGGUUUCAAUUUUAACCCUAUAGACUGGGCUAUUUCAACGUCUAAGAAGACUGGGGGGGGGGGCUGAUUCAGCCCCCCGCCACCCCCAGGUCUUCUUAGGGUUAAGACCUGUUUAUUCAUAAAAUAGUCACUUGCCUUGGCAUGUGCAGCUCCCUAAUGUGUCAAAUUUAAAUCGUAUAAUUUCAUUUUGGUGAAUUAAUAUCCUUUUACUUUCCAGCUUUUCGUAGGCACUUAGAUACACUGAAAUGAGCACUAUAUAAAUGCAAACUACCAGUAAUAUUAUCAAUUUAAUAUUACUAUUAUUAUGAUUGAAUCAUCCUUCUUUAGUGUCUUUCAGAAAUAUAUUUGACAUUUUUUCCGAGUAUCUUAUCAUUCAUAGUGAUAAAUGUAGACAGUAAAUUAAAUUUUUGUGUCAUAUAAACGACUUUUGAUCUAAUUAAAAAACAACAAUGUACUGAAUAAACCACUGGCGUAAAUCCCGGGGGGGAUGGGGGGAUAUAUCCCCCCCACUUUUCGAGGAGGGGGGGAUGGCCUGUACAAACAUCCCCCCCAGUUUUUACGAAAGAAAAUUCUUCCUAAAAUACCGCUUAACAAAUAAAACAAUAUUAUUGAAUCAUAAAAUGACAAUAAAGAGCCAGUUCACCAUUUCCAAACGAAAUACUUAUGUCCUUAUUAUAACAUUGAAGAGAAACCCCCGUUUCUUCCAAUUCAUCAAUGUUGGGGUCUUUGGGAAGGGAUUAAGAUGGAAUGUCAAAACAUUUUGAAUGUAAUCUCUAAUAAAACCAUUAACCAUCAUGGGGUAAAAAAGAUAAUAAUAUUGGAGGGUAUUUGCCAUAUGGACAUACAGUGGCGUAACUACGGGGGGCAUGGGGGGCACAUCCCCCCCCCCCAUCGGCUGACCAAAUAAAAAACGGGGAAAGUGGGAAAAGGAGACAAGAGGGAGAAAGGAAGAGAAGCAAAGUGGGAAAGAAGAAGAUAUUAUUCAUUAUAAUGUUAUAUUACAUUAUAAUUAUGUUAUGUUACAUUAUACAUAAGAAACAUUUUUAUCAUAACUUUAUGAAACAUAAUUUGCCCAGGGCCUACGUCUUCAUUGUUCCUGGUGCUCGCAUUGUCUGUUUAACGAGAUAUAUAAUCCUGUUGUACUAAAACAUCUCGUUUUCAAGUCAAUAUAAACCAAAUAUAUUUCCUAGCACUUGAGUUAUCGUUGUUUUACGUAGUUACAUAUGCUUCUUUUUCAUGACUCAAAAAGUGAUUGCCUCAUGUUAAGGUCUUCGUAUAUAUGAAACAUUUCCUGUCCGUGAUUACGUUCGCAUUAGUGGAUUGGUGAGAUAUGUCUGCUCUUCAUGAAUUCCUAAAAUCAGUCCAUAAAAUGUCCCUUCUUCUGAUCUGAAUAUCAAAAAUUUUCAGCUCGCGCUUCGCGCUCGCAUCAUUUGGUUAAUGAAAUACGUAUGGUCCUAGUUAAUUCCUACAAAGAAACCUUAGAAUGCCCCACUUCAGGUCUGAAUUAUCUAAGUUUUCAGCUCGCGCUUCGCGCUCGCAUUGUUUAGCGAGACAGGUACCUAUCAUGAUUACACAAAUUUGAUUAUAAUGUCCCUUUUUAGGUGUGAAUAUAACAAAAUUUCAGCUCGCGCUUCGCGCUCGCAUUAUUUGAUUAGUGAGAUACAUAUCCGUUUAAUGACAUUGUCCUUAAAAUUUCUCUAUUAGGUCAGUAUAACUGGCAACUGCGCGCGCUUAGCGCACUCACUCAGUGAUUCAAAAAUGUUGCUGGUGCCCCCCCCCCUCCCCCAAUGCCGUGACCCACGGUACGCCACUGUGGACAUAUCAAUGACAAUUCCUUGCAUAUCUAAAAACAUGAUUGCAAAAAAUUCCAAAAUAUUUCAGUCAUCCCCCCCACCCAUCAACACGGAUUUAAUAUAUCUACUAUAAAUGUACAUACGUUUUGUUUAUAUAUUGUAUUCCAGGUGUGUUAUCAGCAGAAAACAUGAUUUUUUUUCUCUCUCUCUCCAUGUGCCUGUGUUCAGUUAUUACAGGAGGCAAAAAAUAAAUUAAUAUAAGAAAUACU